ACACACACACACACACACACACAUAUACACUGUGCAGUAGGCCAGGUGCAGCAGUGUGUCCGUCGCCACGGCCAUGUUUGUGUGCAUAAAGUGUUGUGUGUAUCUACCUGCUACACUAAUGAUCUUCAGCUGUAAGCAACACACACAAAUACACUCACACACGGUGGAGAGAAGGACGGGCGAGACGAACAAACAGGGGAACGCGCGAGACAAAGGAAGACACGGUAAGGAAAAGAUGAAAUGCGCGAUGCAGGUGUCAGACACCAAACGAAAUACAGGUACCGACGGAAUUAACACGAGGAGAAAGACACGAAGGAGGAAGCUGAGAGGAGGAGGAAUAAAAGGCGAGGAUGAGGAAGGGCAACGAAGAGCGAUAUAGGAAAGGUGAGGAGGGAGGCACAAAGGAGGAGAGGAAGAGGAGGGAGACAUGUUGGCAUCUGUCCAAACGACAGCCUCUCCCUCUCCUCCGUUCUGGUUUGAAUACCGCCGCAUGUCAUUAGAGCCGCCAAUCAACAGCUGCCGGCGCUCUGCUGCAGCGUGCAGCUCCAUGCAGGAGGACAGCUGCAGGCCGACGCACAAUCCCUGCACGCUGUGCGCUUUAAUGGGUCCCGCCCACAGGACCCCCCAUGAGGUCAGCCCACCACAAUCACCAUACAAUCGCUCGUCCUGAAUGGGGGGUUUUACUUCUGCAGGUCUACUUUAACCUGGGGAUUAUUUCUGUUUGGGUGUUUUUAAUCACUGUGAAGCACUUUGUCAACUCUUCCCACUGAAAGCCUGUGAAGAGAAGAGGCACAUACCUGCAGGUCGGACACGUUUCACCAAUAAGGACAGCGAGUGUAAAAAUGGACAUUAAGGUAAGAGGUGGAGAACUGGUGAAAACGGCCGCUAACUGGAUUUGAUAUAAUAUAAUAUUUCAUUUUGGCCGCCGUCUUGGACGUUACUCCUAGAAAGAAAGAAAGAAAGAAAGUCUGACCUCAGUGAGUUAGAUGUAAUAUAGAGGAGGUAUAAACUGGGGCUAACGGGAUAUAAAUCAUAUAAUGAUACGGCAGAUGAAAUCCAGCAUUCUGAUUGGUUGAGAGUAUUGAGCAACAAUGUUGCUGUUCACAUUGACGUAUCACGGCGCACUCAAGCAGCAGGUUAGGUUUUGUGUGAACGUUCGGUGACGAAAAAACCCCGUAAAUGCCACAAAUGAUCAGUUUGAUCGGUUUGGGGCAAUGAGAGCUUUCACAAGGUGGACGUCAUGAGCGAUGCUGUGAGAUCUUACAAAGAGGCUCAACUACUUUUCUCUGGACUACUGAAAUGAGAUACACAACUAUUUUGUGCUGAAGGCAGCGAUUUACUUACUAUUUAUAAUGUCGCUGGCAACCGUAUUAUGAAAGCAAUAAGGUACUUGAGGCAGUAAUUCUUCAGUAAUAUAGCAGUUUGAGGGUUGCUGUUACAUUAUUGGACGAUAAAGUACAGCCUCUCGUACCUUAUUGCUUAAAUAUAAAUUGUAGAUAAACCUUUAGGGACGACUUAAUGUAUCUGGAGUUUUGAACGUUGGCAGAACCUUUCACUUGACCUUUCAACUUUUAGAUAAGCGGACAUUCACACACCUGCUUCACACUUGUGUGGGGGGGUAAUAAAAUAAAGACAAAACCAUAACAUCACCUGUGGUCAGAGUUAAAUCUGAUUCUCUCAUUCAUCACAGCAACCUUUUCCAGACGGGGAAACCCAAAUGUCCAAAUACUGGGACAGGAAGAAUGUCUGUCGUCCUGGCAACCGGGUAAAUAUUUAAGGGCAGAAGGGAGUUUGUUGAACUGGUGAAGUGAUGGCUGAGGGCUCUCUCACCCUCUGCACAUCUGUCUGUCCUCAAGUUGACUCUCUGGUUGCGUUUCUUUCCCUCCCUCUCUUUGCUGACUGAGCUGUACAGUUAGCACAACCAAGCACACUAAACUUUAGUUAGUCACUUUAGAUGUCCCACCUGGUGCCCAGGUCAAGUGUCAGACUAUAUCCAAUAGUUAAUUGCAUUGAUCAUCACUGAGCUAAUCGCAUGAAUAAUAACCUCUGAUUUAAUGCGCUUCCUUUAGCUGGAAACUGCAAUGGAUUAUCCUGAAGCCUACAGGUACAUGUAUUAUGUACAUGUAUGUACUCUGAAUAUCAGACAGCGCUCACUCAGUGCUGAAGGCCACUGAUUGUUGGUGACGCCGCCUGUUAAAAACAUACCUUUCCCCAAUGGGCUGAAACAUGUGGCGGCUGGUGUUCUUUCUUGAAAAUUGCUCGAUCAAAUGUCGUUACGCUGGACACUAGCAAACACUAGCCUACUGCAGCAUUCAGCAGACACACUGCAGCAUUAUCAUCCAACUAGUUCUGUUUGAGUCCACCUGAAGAAUGGAUGUCCAACACUCACUCAUCUUUAAUCAGCUACACAAAUAUCUGGCUUUUUUGCUCGGAUACGUUCCAGACGUGAUUUGAGGCAGAUUUGGUUCCUAUGACAUUGAUCUCGCUGUAUGAGGGAUGAUUCCUGGUUUGGAUUCUUCCCUGCAGCACUGCCGUCAGUGCAUAGCUCCUACAAGAAAAGAUGACGAAGCCCAUUUCUCUCAGAGGCUUGUCCACCAUCUGACCACCCUGCUCCCCAGAGGAUGAACCCUUGAGAUCUGACUGACAGCAUCAUCCCUCUAAUGUCAGUCUAGGGAAACAUUUGUCCCCACCGCCGGUGUAUACAGGGGGGGUCACUAAUAGGCCGACUACACUGGAUCCUGGAAGCUACGUGGAUGACAGCUGAAGGGCAGAGGUCACAGAGGAUGCAAACACACACACGUCAGACUGCAGGUCUGUGAACGUGUGUGUGUGUGUGUGUGUGUGUGAAGUGGGUGGUGGUGAGGAAUCGAGAGGAGAAGGAAGUAGAAGAGGAACAAAAGAAGAAUAAACAAAGAACAAUUCCAUUCUUGCUCCUUUUGUAUUUCUCCAAUGAGAAUUUAAAUGAAAAUCAAUAAAACAAAAGCAAGUAGGAUAGAUGGACAUUUGAGAUAAAGAAAGAAUAGAGAGAUCUGGCCAUGUGGCUACAGAAGCACACAAACACAUCUCUCCUUUUUAUUGAAAUGAAAAGCCUUGUGCUGUCACAAUCGGUUGGUGGGUGGCAGUUUUAAAACUCGAUCUCUGCGUCGCCAUCAUGGAUUACGGCCGCUGCCAUGUUGUUUAUGGCAACCAAUGAACAAAAGUUACCAUAGUUGGAAUGCAAAGGAUGCAGGGACCUGUCAAUCACAGUAUCCCGCCCAAACACAUAAGCUGCUGUAUGGUCUUAAUUUACUAAAUGAUCAUCAUGCUGUAAGUAGAGAUUGAGACCAUUGCAACUCAUGUUCACAGACUAAAUCAGACUUCUAUUUGCACCCGGAUCAGUCGCCUCCGGCUUGACACGAGAGGUAGUGCAGGUUAUAAGUUCCUGGGUUUAUUAGGAGCUGGUUGUGAUAGAACAGGAAAGGGCUACUUUAACUGUCCCCAACACUACUAACCUGCCCAAACCAGCCCGAGCUGGAGCGACCUCGCAGUCACAAGCCUUUCAAACUAACAUCAAAUGAUGUUUUUGGCACCAAUAAUGCUGAAACAGAGGCCCAUUUCUUUAAUGAAAGCAUAACCAUCCAUCCAUCCGUCCUCAAACCGCUUCACACAGGGUUGUUGGAGAGUCAGUCCCAGGGAACUUGGAUUGGUCCCCAGCCAAUCACAGCAUGUUUUAAUUGAGAUUGACUUUGAUCUCACAUGACGUGCAUCCAUGAAAUGUUGGGGAACAUUUACUGCUUGGGCUCACGACUGAACGGGAGCAGUGCUCAGAGAAAUCUGAAUUAUUUCAUUUAAAGCGCCUCGAACUGGCCACAUUUCAUGGUGCAGCUGUGUUUUAGACGUGAUCCCUAAUAAUGUAGGACAUAUGUAGCACAUAAAGCGUGUCACAACCAUCACAAGACACCGCAGAGGAAACAUGUUUACAGUCCAGAGAGAAAAAACAGAAAUGCUUUAAUAGUCCUACAUAAAAACAGGCUUUAUUAAUGCUGUCUGUUCUAAGGUUGUGUGUGUGUGUGUGUGUGUGUGUGUGCGUGUGUGUGUGUGCGCGUGUGUGUGAGUUCACGUCCGCCUGGCCAACUGUUGACUGCAAUCUGCUAUUCUGCAAAUCCAAAAGGUCAGAGGUCGCGCCAGUCAGAGCCACCACUUUUGCUAAUCAAAUGAAUGAGAAUUAAUUCUAUAGAGUUAAUAUUUGAAUGAAAUGUAAUGAACCGAGGCCCGAGUAGGGGAACAAUCUGGAAUCAUCUCUGUGGAGGAUUAAAGCUUUCACGCUGAUUGCGUGCAGGAGUGACGGGUCACGAGGAGCUCACACGAGGUCAGAGGGACGGAGACGCCCUUUGGCCUGUUUGGAUGGAAGAAAGUCGUUUUUAUUGCCCUCCCAGUAGAGUCAAAUGGACCACACAGCAGGGUGAGCUUCGGCCUGCUGCUCCCACAGAGCCCUCCUCAUUUUAGUUUUACCACUUUAACCAUUUCCCACCUUGUUUUCACUUCAGAAAAGUUAAGUGGAACAUCUUGGUUGCCAUAAAAGUACGUUAUUCAGUGUUUCAGAGUUUCAGAGUUUUACUUCGCUCUUUGACUUCAACGGUUGUAAUCGAGAGCUCGUUUCUAUCGAUUUGGACAGAGAAUUGAAAUCGUCACAGUCCAAAUAAAAGCUCUGGAGAACUUUUUGUGAUCCAACUACCCUCACGUCUUUUGACAGUCACACCAUAUCUACUUUUAGAUGAACCUUUCUGAAGUAAAUGAGUGGACACACUGUGGUCGUCUCCACUAGUAGAAACUGUUGGCGGCAAAAUCCCCAGAAAAAAUCCCAAACUGCAGGAGACAGUUUUCCAUCUCGCACCAGUGGUUGGAGGCGUAGCUCAGUCAACACACUCCUGGUUCAUCUCACUAGACAGCUGAAAAAGUCACGAGUCAUGAUAGUGGACAUUUGAAUGUGGCAUCUAACAGCACAUCUAUUUCCCUUGUGUGAACCGUCAAAAGAAACCAGACUAGAUGGAUCUUUCUGUAAAGGCAGAAUCUCUUUGUCGAUGGUCGGCUGGGUCUCUGACGCUGCCUGAAACGUUUGCGUCUCUUCCUCUCCUUCCUUUUCUCUCUCUGAUGGACUAAUUAUUGUCGUUGUUCUGCCGCUCGCGCUGCUCGCUGCCAAAUGGAAUUAAAAACCAAUUAUUGAUAAAUGAAGAGUGGCUUUAGCUCUGUGUGUGUGUGUGUGUGUGGGGGGGGGGGGGGUCUAUGUCUGGAACCCUGCCUAGACCAGAGUACUGCAUCUGUCAUCCAAACGCCGUGACAACCACUCAUGUGUGCCGUUGCAUCCUGCGCAUUCAACACACACAUCUGCACCGCAAUGUCUUCGCUAAGAGUGUGUGCGUCAACUAUGUCCGCCUGGGUGUGUGCUCUCGUGUGUGUGUGUGUGUGAUGUACAUCUGUGACAUUUUAGCACGUGCACAUGAACCUGUUUGCAGGUGUGUGUGCAGGUUUGUGUUCCUCAGCUGCAGCUUUGCUGCAUUCUCGUGACAGAUUGACGUGUGCACAGAUGGCGGAUGAUGAACAUAUGAAUUUCACUUCACACUUUACAUGUUGACAUGACAACAGUUUUAAAACACAUAUGAGAGCAAUAAGAAUAAGGUCAAAUGAUUGACUGGUCCGUGUGGAUGAAGUACUUUCAUCAGUGAAUACGGACAGAAGAAAUAAAUGAGAUUGCACAUCCAUCCUGGAGGAAGCAUCCCUCCUCCGUAAGGUUUCUCCUUAUGAGUUGAGUGUCUAACAUUAGUGGUUUUAUGCUGCAAAGGUUGUAAAAAAAUGUGUGACUGUAUAAAUAACUUUACACAACACAAAGAAACCUUUAAGAAAAGGUUGCAUCAAUGAAGGGGGAAAUAAAUAGGCAAGCGCCAGUGAUGCAGAACCUGUUGGAGCAGAAAGGUUACAGGAUUUGGAUUAAAAUGCGUCUGUUUGUUUCCUCGCUUUCCCACCAGAGGUAAGUAGGUGAGUGUCACAGUCACCUGGGUGGAAGUCCUGUGUUUGUUUCAUACGUACAUGGUGAAUUCCCAUUUUUCUAAGUUAUCCCGACAGCAAACCACUGUUGCGUUGUUGCAAGAAACAUAGUUACAUAGAUACUAUUAUGUAAAAGAUUCCUGGUCCAACGUUUUCCCACCGUAGCAAAGACAUGAUCCUACUCUAUCUGAUAGGAUAAAAUGUCAGAGUGAGCCAAUCUAUCUGAUGCUUCACCCUAACCAAUAAGAGCAAUGAGAAGAAAGCAGCAGAUUAGUGGAGGAAGCCUGUUAAUAAUGGGGAUCUUCUGAUGACAUCAUGCUGCAGCUGUCAAUGACACAAAGUGUCCGUUUGAAAUCAGAAUUUGCAGCUGACUACGGAAUACACUUUUGCGGGUUUUUGGGGUUAAUAAGACUGAAAGUUUUGACUUGGGUUUCAUGCAGGACACUAACUGCCGUCUGCUGGAUGAAAGUCCUGUGUUUGUUGGACCCAUAUGCAUCCAUCCAACCGGACCCCUUUACGCUGACUGUUGUUCUGCAUCCAAAACAACUAAAUGUGUUUCCCAUUGAAUGAUCCCAACGGAGUUUUGUUGUGAGGGACGAGGAUGUUGAACUGAGUGGCGGGUGAACAAAACAGGCGUGAAGCUCAGCAGGAGAUAAAAUAUCAUUUUGUUGGGAACGGCCUUACGCGGGCGCCGUUUUGUUGGCACGGCGUAAGAUAAUGUGGUGGUUAAUAGCUAGUGUGAAAUGAAAUCAUUGACAUCAAUAGAAUUAUUAAUAAUCACUAAGAUAAUUCACUGAAUAAAUAUAUAACGAGGCACCACCCUAAAAAGGGACUAAUAACCAAACUAUAAAUCAAGUCUUAUAAUUGAUAUUUAUUCAUUAAGAGCGAGGAAUUGAAUGUUGGAGUUUGUACACUGGCUGUGUUUCCAACCAGCAUCACAGUACACAAAGAAAUCACAGAGAACUGCUCCUUAAAGUUUAUUAACUUCCAAUAAUACUAAUCAGAUCAAUACCAUUUGAAAUCAACAAAAGCUACUGUACCUAAUAAUAUCCUAAUAUCUAUACAACAAAUAAAAACAUUCCUCCAUGCAUGUGGAGGUGUGUGUGUGUGUGUGUGUGUGUGUGUGUGAGAGAGAGCUCAGGAAGGGAGCUAGCUGGACGCUAAGCUACCGACCACAUGGCUGAGGUGUGUUUUACACCGCGGGAAGGAAGAAGAAGAAAAAGUCAAAGCAAAGCAGAUCUUAUUUGAACAGUGGAACAGUAGUGGUUCAUAAGCAAACACAACUAAACAAUACAGUAAACACCAACAAAAAAUAACGACACAUGCUAAUCUAGCUUCUGCCUUACUGUGCGUUGACGGGGUUUCUGCGUUUCCUCGAGUUUCGUUUAUCGAUGGAUGGAUCAAUCGGGGAUUAAAGGGGACUGUUGGGUUUCUUGGUGGCACAAAAGCUGUUGGUGCUCUUAUGUGCUCUUUACGCAAGUUGUAUCCAAGGGGGUAGAAGACGUUUUCCUUCUUGGAGAGCUGCUUGGGUCGGAAGUGAAGGCUGGGGCAGCCGGACGUCUCCGGAGCAGCUAGAAGAUGGUUUGGGUUGGAGAAGCCUGAAUCCUUCAUCCUGAGGCCAGUCCAGAAAGUUGAUUUGAAGAGGCUGUGUUGUGCUGCUUGCGCUGGCGAAGGCCAGUUCGGAUCUCACAGGUAACACCAGGGGGACCCCUGUGGUGUCUGUGGCUUGGCCAAUCAGAUCUCAGGGCUGUUUCACCCAGAGAGAGAUCACACCUGGUGUGAAGGCACAUUCCGUUUGGGGUUUUAUGUCCUGCAGCAGAACACUGCAUCCAUAAGUCAGCCUUGGUCUUGUGGUGGAGCCCAACACUUUACAGCUCUACAAGUGUUCUGGUGACUUUCAGGGACACGACCAGGGGCUUAUUUGUAUUUCCUUGCCUUUUCUUUCAUUAGGUAACACUCAUUUCCUCGGGUUACGUCUUCUCCAGUAAACACAAAACAACAUCUAAAUGAGAAGGGACAUACAUUCGACAUAAAACAGUCACUAAAUAUGUUCUUGGUGAAAUAAUGAUGACGCCUUAUUAAAAUGAUUCAUUCACAGACAAAAAUAGACAGAUACACAUCCACACACUCAUCCCUACAUGCAUGCAGUUUGAAUGAAUGAAUACGCAGUAAAUUCACCUGAUGCUUUCUGUGAGGACCAGGCUAUUUUUAAGGGACUAUAUGGGGUUUCCACGUGAAAAUCCUUAUAUACACAUGUGUGUAUAUAUAUACACAUAUGUGUGUGUUGUGUUAGCGGGGGGUCGAGGGACUGGAGUGUUUUUGCAGAAAAUAGUUUUGUAAUUACGUCUGCGAGGGAGGAAACUCGUUAUCGGCGUUGGCGAGUGGCCGAGGGCAAACGCUUUGAAAUACUGCUCCUCUUCAGCGCGGCAACGCCAAAAUACUGGUAAUAACUACUGAUAAACAAGGCGAGUGUAAUUGCAUCUAUUUGCAUUUUUAAAUAAGGCUGCUGAAGGAAAACAGUGACAGUGGCUGUAAGGAGCAAAAGGGGAGCUGCUUUCUUUUUUUAUUUCUGCCUCUUUUCAUUAACGAUUUUUGUUUCAGCUUUCUAAUCAUUCCUAAGGAUUAAUAUUAGCAUUGUUUCAGAGGUUAAAGCUAAGCAGUUGCUGCUGCCCUUCAAAAUGUUUAAAAUGCUUUCAAUGAUUAGAACAUGUGGUUGGUGCUUUUCAGCGGAGCAUCUACACAUCUGCUUUCAUGUAAAUAUUUACAGUGAAUUUUACCAUGGAGAACACAGGAGUACACAGGGAGUACACAGGAAGUACACAGGGAGUACACAGGAAGUACACAGAGAGUACACAGGAGUACACAGGGAGUACACAGGAGUACACGGGAGUACACAGGAAGUACACAGGGAGUACACAGGAAGUACACAGAGAGUACACAGGAGUACACGGGGAGUACACAGGAGUACACGGGGAGUACACAGGAGUACACAGGGAGUACACAGGGAGUACACGGGGAGUACACAGGAGUACACGGGGAGUACACAGGAGUACACAGGGAGUACACAGGGAGUACACGGGGAGUACACAGGAAUAUACGGGGAGUACACAGGGAGUACACAGGGAUACACGGGGAGUACACGGGGAGUACACAGGGAGUACACAGGAGUACACAGGGAGGAACAAGGAGGGAGGAAGGACAAGCUGAACCUGUCUACCUGCUGUGCUGUCAGCUGAUUGGGGGCGGGCUGGUUAAGUACUGGCCGGGCAGACGGCGGCACCGUUAAGCGUUAACUGUUCUCUCGCUGCGCUCAGUUGUCAUUUCAGGGCCACCAGGUGCAAAUGGUUAUAUAUUUUGCUUUUCGAUAGCAUUGACUUUGUUUGCGAAAAUGUCCAAUUUGGACAUCGAUCCAUUUGCAAGACUCCACUGUCAACGGGAGCCGGCUAGCAGCUCAGCGAGCGGCCAGGAAGGAGCACUCGCCUUAGGAGGUGCAGCAGCUCCCCAGCGGACGAGCAAGAAGCCAUUGUGGCUCAAUUUACAGAGCGUGGAGUGGUCACAGCACCGGGCCUCCCUCUGUCCCAGUAAGGCUCACAGCCGGUGGAAAGCGACUCUAUCCCUCCCCUCCACCCGCACCAGGGCGGAAAAUCAGAACCAACACAAGCUCCGCGGGCUAAGAGAAAGUAGGCUACUUCACCACCACCAGCUCCUCCGGGCCCAUCGAGGACCGGUAUCACGGCCAUCUCCACCUACACGGCACUGGUCAACUCGAUGACCACCAUCUCGCCUUCAACACCUGGUGAACACGGAGCCCAUUCCAUCUCCAUCCGGUAACUCUCGGUAUGGCAACUCAACCCCCCACAUCCACGCAGAUUCGAGCAGCGCAGCAUUCACUGGCAUCUGCAGUCCCUCAUCGUCUUUUAGGUAGGCCAUACUUUUCCAAUGUAGCUAACAUAUCGGCCCGCCUAAGGUCGAAAACCCUGCAGGACGAGACACUGAGACCCUGUCCUCUCCGGACAUACUUUACUCUGAUGUCUCUCUUAAAACACCUGAAGUCGUCAGUCGACGCAUAAACAACAUAAUCAAACCCGUCGACUCAACGCAACGUUAAGCUCCCUGAGUCAUGAGGAGCUGUCUCCUGUGAGACACCACGUGUCUCAACAGGGGAGACCUACAUCCGGAGGACACCUUGGUAACCCGAGAGACCACCUUACCGUACCGAGACAGUUCCCUAGUUAACACCUCGUCUCUGACGAACGGAGGAACGUGUGACACCGUGAUCUUAACAGCUGAUCUUGCGAGCGGUAAGACGGGAAAGAAGUGGUCGUUCACCUCGACCCCGUCUCCAUGACGAGGUCUGCGUCCUCCACGCUGCCGACAAAUAUGAGCACAGCCCCGUUCAUCCGCGCUGCCGACCAUCUCCCCCACCGCCAGGCCGCAGUCCUCCACCGAGCACGGGAAGCGCGGCGGUAUUUUGAAGCCGUGCUUCCUCGUUAGCUCCGUGAGCGCCAUGUCGUCGUGUAGCGCAAACUACCCACAAUCACCCAAACCUUUAAUGUGCACGAACACCACGAACCCUGCGCCCCACGACACGUAUAAUACACCCCAUUAACAGCAAGGAAUAACGAACGGACUAUCAGACGCUCACAAUCACGCUCAACACUCCUUCCACACACACACACACACACACACACACACACACACACACACACACAGAAGGCAGUUAUACUGUUCUACUAAUUAGACAAGUUCACUAGUUUUAUUUAAUAUACAAUUAUUGAAAUGAAAGGUAUGUCUUAAGUUACAUGAGCUACAUGACAGUCAGUGAUUAUUAUUAUUAUUAUUGUGGUGUAUUAUUGGUGUAAUGCUGCUCAUGCUUCAACUGUAAAAGAAAACAGUAAACAUCUUCCAAGAGAUGGUCAGGAUGCUCCUGUGAAGCUCCGUUUUGAUAAGUUUUGAGUUAAAAUAGUUUUGAUUAUUUAAUCAUUUGAUGAUUGUUUAUACAUUAUGGCCUAGUUUCGUCUGCCUGAUAUUAAUUAAUUAAUUCAAUUUAAUUAGUUUAUUAACAGAAAUAAAUAUAAGAUCUGAAAAAAUAUUGUACUGUGUUUUUUAUUCAAUUAUGUAAUAUUCUUUUUCAUUUCAUUGUCUUUUGUUGUGGUUUUAGCUCCUGUCCCCCACAGUGUCUGUGCACGGGCCUAUAUAUGAAGAGGCUAUAUAUAUAAAUGCUUCACCUGGUUGGGAGCAUUAGAUCCUUGCUACAAUAUACGUAUGCAAAAUAAUGCAAACACAACUUCAACCACUGUAGUAAGAGUAAAGAUACCCCAUGCUAAUUAGUCGAGAAACCAAAGCCUUCUCUAGAGUAGUUUUCCCUCAUUCUAUCAAAGUGAAACUUGACACUUAAGGCUAUUAUGUAGAUGUGGUUUUAGCCUGUUAUCUCCAUGUUUAUAGCAUUUAUAGGGCUGUUUUUCAACCUUUCAACCUUUUUGACGGCAAUCUCAAAAUUCAAACUUUUUUGUGUGUGUAAUAUUGAUACAUAUUCACCAGUAACAUAUUAACUUAUUUUUAAACAUCAUAGCAUAUGAGUUCCCCUUUUUCCCCACAGAAAAAUGUGUCCAAUUAGACAAAGUUCCAGAGUUAUUAUACGUUUUAUGUGUGGAGAAAGUUAUAUAUUAUAUAAUAAUACGGGCAGACGACAUCCAGCGUUCUGAUUGGUUGAGAGUGAGUCAUGGGGUGUGGAUUAUUCAGCGAUGAUGUACAGUUGCUGUUCACAUUGACCCGAGCGUUCCGUAUCACUGCGCACUCAAAGUAGCAGGUUAGCUUUUGCGCGACCGUUAAGCCUAGUUCAUGCUUCUGCGUUUUCAGAGAAACGCAAGAGUCCCUUGCGUGUCCCUUGCGUGUCCCUUGCGUGUCUUUUCACACCUCCUUGUGUGCGUCGACCCAUUUUUCUCGACCAGCGUCUAAAGCGACGCAGCCUCCUGCAGCACCAGGCUGUGAUUGGUCCGCUGACUACGUCCUUUACGGAGUCUCACGUCUCCGUUUUCACAGCACAAUACGGCCGUUAUUAAAAGGAAGAACGUUGACGAGAGAACGGAUCAGAUUGAAGAGCUUUUAAAUAUGAGCGCUUGUACAAGCCGUCAUUGGCGGACUAUGAGGACGCCGGAUGGCCUCUGAUUCAUGGAGGGAGAUCUCCACCAACGAGGGGAACAAAGUCGUGGAGGAAAAUACGGGACAAAUGUGUCCGUGAUGAAAAGCAGCAGUGUGGAUGCACGGGGCAAUAAAGUCUAUGAUCAAUAAAUAAAGCAACCAGCGACUUCCACACACAAAGACGUGACUCUCUAGGUCGUCUUCAACAAAACACGUGACUCCACCUGUUGUUCUGGAGGUGAAUCGCUCUGCAACACACGCACGACUUUACAACCAGGAAGUGAAACCAGUGCGUCGACGCGUAAAGACGCAGAAACACGCGCCGGCCUUUAGUUGACAUUUGCAAGGAGACCCAAUACUGUUUACAUGCAUGUACUUUUUUUCUCUGGACUACUGAAAUGAGAUACAUGUUUGGUGGCUGCAACUAUUUUGUGCUGAAGGCAGCUAUUUACUUACUAUUAAUAAUGUUGCUGGUAACUGUAUUAUAAAAGCAAUAAGGUACUUGAAGCAGUACUUUAUUUCAGUAAAUUGGCCGAUAAAGUACAGCCUCUCGUACCUUAUUGCUUAAAUAAAUGAUAAAACAAAAGAAAAAAAAGGAAAGACUCAAAGCAGAACAGAUCUUAGCACCCACAGUAAGACACGUUCUUUAAUCAUUUUCAGCAGCACGCUCUCUGAAAUUAUACUUCAAGGGAUGACGUCACUUAGAACUAAAUAUUUCAUUGGUCAAACGUUCGCAGGCCAGAAUCUGUUUUUUUCCAUUUUAAAUCAUUCCAACAUUCAGGUGUUGAUAAUGUAAUUUAUCAAUGGCUGCAUUCCAUUUAGUUGCUUCAGUUUUCAUUUCAUUGGUGAGAAUAUGCGGUACAUACAAAAAAGCAUCAACUUAUGGAUGUUGGCAGAUGCCGUUCAUUCAUCCACAUUAUUUCUCGUUGUUGCUUUCUUUGUAUCUUAUGUACUUUACUUUUACUAUUUACACUCCUCCACUCUCUUCGCUGGUACCGGUGGCUCAUCCAGUUCUAAACACUGGUGCUCAGUGCUGUAGUGGUAAAAUUAGAGGUGGGUAAACUCUGAAUUUUGUGAUCAUACAGACCUCGACGUGAUGCGAAGCAACGCAACACAAAGCGUCGCGACUCUGUUAGGCUGUCCUGGCUAUAUUGCAUUAUGUUAUCAGUAAAAGUCAUAUACAAUCAAUGACAAUGAAUACAUGUGUUAGUAGUUUGUAGUUUAUUAAAUUUAAGAAAACAGUAAAGAAAAGUAUGUCAACACAACACAACAACACAAUUGCACAUUAAGAACUAUCUACAUAUGGAGUCUCCUUUUUACAGUAGUGCCCAGAGGGCCUCCUUGUCCUCCACGUCAGGUCCUGCCUUGCACAGAGGAGCCAUGAACCCCAGAACACGUUCCUCUGUGCUUCUCCUCUCUCUAUUGGACCUGGUGUUUCUCUCCCUGUGCUCUCUGCAUCACUGCCUGUCCUCUCACUGCCUGAACUAUGUUGAAUUUAAGAGUUAACCAGUUAAGCAGCCUGUCAAUUACACUGACAACAUAAGUUAAGGAACACUCAUGUGCUACCUAUGUCAUCAUUUCUUCACAUUGAGAAAAAAUGUGUCGUUUUACCGUGCACGACCAGCGAACACAGAGCGCGCGAUUAUUACUACC
ensembl:lncRNA